rnacentral:lncRNA from 1 species
GCUAGUUGGCUCUGAAAGAAACAUCCCAUUCCUUAACUAGCUCCUUAUUCCCCUGAACAAUUUUGAUCGAAUAGAAACUAUCCCCAUGCCCUAAUUGACCACACAGAAAACAUAAUAGUAAAAGUCUUUCAUACUGGAAUUUAUCAUAAACACAUAUCAUAACUUUGAGUCACCUUUUCACCGCCCCCAUCAAUCUGCCACGCCUCAUCCUCCCUUCCCCCAAUCACGAGAUUUACCAACUCCUCUUCUAUAUCUACAACGACACUGCUGGAAUCACACUCCCACAAUCAUCAAUCCAGAAAAUCAAUGAAAACAGAAA